AAAUACCGGAGUUAUAAGUUUUUAUGUUCAACAUUUGAUCAUCUAUCUUAUUUGAAAAAAAUAUGGUUAGUAUUUGUAGUGUUAUUAGAUGAUAAAAUAUGAAUAAUACUUUAUGAGCGACUAUUUCUAAAUUUUUUUUCUAAAUUUUUUAAAUAAGAUGGAGGUUGAAAUUGAACGGAGGUAGUACUUAAG
rnacentral:pre_miRNA from 1 species